GACGAACGCUGGCGGCGUGCUUAACACAUGCAAGUCGAACGGAAAGGCCCUGCUUUUGUGGGGUGCUCGAGUGGCGAACGGGUGAGUAACACGUGAGUAACCUGCCCUUGACUUUGGGAUAACUUCAGGAAACUGGGGCUAAUACCGGAUAGGAGCUCCUGCUGCAUGGUGGGGGUUGGAAAGUUUCGGCGGGUGGGGAUGGACUCGCGGCUUAUCAGCUUGUUGGUGGGGUAGUGGCUUACCCAGGCUUUGACGGGUAGCCGGCCUGAGAGGGUGACCGGCCACCUUGGCACUGAGGUACGGCCCAGACUCCUACGGGAGGCAGCAGUGGGGAAUAUUGCACAAUGCGCGGAAGCCUGAUGCAGCAACGCCGCGUGCGGGAUGACGGCCUUCGGGUUGUAAAACGCUUUCACCUGUGACGAAGCGUGAGUGACGGUAAUGGGUAAAGAAGCACCGGCUAACUACGUG
rnacentral:rRNA from 1 species